rnacentral:rRNA from 1 species
GAUACCUACGGGGGGCAGCAGUGGGGAAUAUUGCACAAUGGGGGAAACCCUGAUGCAGCAACGCCGCGUGAAGGAAGACGGUUUUCGGAUUGUAAACUUCUGUUCUUAGUGAAGAAAAAUGACGGUAGCUAAGGAGCAAGCCACGGCUAACUACGUGCCAGCAGCCGCGGUAAUACGUAGGUGGCGAGCGUUAUCCGGAAUGAUUGGGCGUAAAGGGUGCGUAGGCGGCCUGCUAAGUCUGGAGUGAAAGGUACCGGCUCAACCGGUACAGGCUCUGGAAACUGGCGGGCUAGAGAGCAGGAGAG